CGUCAUGGCUCAGAUUGAACAACGGCGAGAUCUUUACACAUGCAAGUCGAACGGCAGCACGGACUUCGGUCUGGUGGCGAGUGGCGAACGGGUGAGUAAUGUAUCGGAACGUGCCUAGUAGCGGGGGAUAACUACGCGGAAGAAGGCGUAGCUAAUACCGCGCAUCAGGGAAAGCGGGGGACCUUCGGGCCUAUAUGCCAUGUCAAACAAGCCGACUAUCAGUUAGCUAGUUGGUGGGGUAACGGCUGCGCAAGGCGACGAUCCGUAGCUGGUUUGAAGGACGACCAGCCACACAGGACUGAGACUGCAGCCAGACUCCUACAGGAGGCAGCGAUGGGGAAACACCCGGACAAUGGGGAAACCCUGAUCCAGCCAUCCGCGUGUGCGAUGAAGGCCUUCGAUUAUCUGAACACUUUUGGCAGGAAGAAACUGGCACGGGAUAAUACCCCGUGCGAAAGCUGACAGCCUGCAGAAUAAGCACCGGCUAACCUGUGCCAGCAGCCGCAGUAAUACGUAGGGUGCAAGCGUUAAUCGGAGAAAUUACUGGGCGUAAAUCGUGCGCAGGCGGUUCGGAAGAAAGAUGUGAUCGGAAGCAACUUUGGGUUACCGUUUUGCUACGAGCUAGAGUGUGGGAGGUGGAGUGCGCGUGUAGCAGUGAAAUGCGUAGAUAUGCGGAGAACGCGAUGGCGAAGGCGGCCUCCGCCAGGAUACAACAUGACGCUCAUGCGGCAUUAUGAGGAGCAAACAGGUUAAGAUACCCUGGUAGUCCGCCUAAACGAUGUCAACUUCUGGCUAUUUGGGGCCUUCGGGCCUUGGUAGCGCAGCUAACGCGUGAGAUUGACCGCCUGGAGACUGAUCGCAAGAUUAAAACUCAAAGGAAUUGACGGGGACCCGCACAAGCGGUGGAUGAUGUGGAUUAAUUCGAUGCAACGCGAAAAACCUGCUACCUUGACGUAUGCUGGAAUCCGAAGAAAGUUUGGGAGUGCUCGCAAAGAGAACCGGAACACAGGUGCUGCAUGGCUGGCGCCGUCGCUCGUGUCGUGAGAUGUUGGGUUAAAAGUCCACGGCAAGCGCAACCCUUGUCGUGGUGCUACGAAGGGCACUCUAAUGGACUUGCCGGUGACAAACCGGAGGAAGGUGGGGAUGACGUCAAAGUCCUCGCAAGCCCUUAUAGGUAGAGGCUUCCACGUCGCUGUGGUCGGGGACAGAGGGUCGCCAACCCGCAGGGGGCCAAUCCCGAAGCCCGAUCGUAGUCCGGAUCGCAGUCUGCGACUCGACUGCGUGAAGUCAGAAUCGCUAGUAAUCGCGGAUCAGCAUGUCGCGGUGAGCCCGUUCCCGGGUCUUGUACACACGCCCGUCACACCAUGGGAGUGGGUUUUACAGUAGUUAGCCUAACCGUAAGGAGGGCGAUUACCGACCAGGAUUCCAUGACUGGGGUGAAGUCGUAACAUAGGUGA
rnacentral:rRNA from 1 species